UUGAAAACUACAGUGGCUAGCGGAAAAAUAAUCAAACCAUGGUGUGUAUUGGACGUUUAUAUAAAAAUAGAUGUGCUUUUUUGCAAGAAAAUGCAAGGAAAUCCGGAAAAAUUGUAAAAUAGGAGAUUUUCCGCAAUUUUAUCGAAAACUACAGAAGCUAGCGGAAAAAUAAUUAAACCAUCGUGUUUAUUGGACGAUUUUACAUAAGAAUAGAUGUUUACUAAAAAAUAAAAGUAAUCCCAACGAUAAGGAAUUAAAUUCUUGUGUAAAGUGAUAAAAACUUGUGUGAUAUCGAAUAUAAACAAAGCAGGUUUUACAGUAGGUGGAAACAAAACAAUAUUAUUGUGAAUGGUGUAUUUCUACAGGAAAAUAAAACGUAUUAAUAACCAGAAUCAGCUCUCUUCGGUGGAAAUUGGUAGUGUAGGUUAGCCUAGACGAUGUUGUUCAAAUACGCCACAGAAAAAAUCUAUAGGGAUAAGGUCUGAAGGUCUUGGCGGAAAAUUAAUGUCACAUUUUUUUGUGAAAUAAGUGUGCCCGGAAAUAUUUCUAUCACAGCUUUCUUUAAGUGUUCGCAGUAUGUGACAUAGCACCAUCUAGCUGGAACCAUAUAUUGCCCGAGUUAACCGAGUAUAGCUAUACUUACUGAUACCAUUUUUUUUUGUUUUUAAGGUUAUUUUAAUAAUUAGGUUUUGGUAGAGCUUGGAGAUAUCUAAUGAAAUAUAAGUUUAUUGCUGAAAUGUAUUUAUUGUUUUUAUAAUACAUGUUUGGAUAAGUUUCAAA